rnacentral:rRNA from 1 species
UUGAACGCUGGCGGAAUGCUUUACACAUGCAAGUCGAGCGGCAGCGCGGGGGCAACCCUGGCGGCGAGCGGCGGACGGGUGAGUAACGCGUAGGCAACCUGCCCCAUACAGAGGGAUAGCCUCGGGAAACCGGGAUUAAAACCUCAUAACGCCAAGAGUUCACAUGGACACUUGGUCAAAGAUUUAUCGGUAUGGGAUGGGCCUGCGUCUGAUUAGCUAGUUGGUAAGGUAACGGCUUACCAAGGCAACGAUCAGUAGCCGACCUGAGAGGGUAAUCGGCCACAUUGGAACUGAGACACGGUCCAAACUCCUACGGGAGGCAGCAGUGGGGAAUAUUGCACAAUGGGCGAAAGCCCGAUGCAGCAACGCCGCGUGAGCGAUGAAGGCCUUUGGGUCGUAAAGCUCUGUCCUUGGGGAAGAAAAAAAUGACGGUACCCUUGGAGGAAGCCCCGGCUAACUACGU